rnacentral:tRNA from 1 species
AUGUUUAUAGUAUAAACAUCUAUUACCUUAACUUUUCACGUUAAAAAUUUGGCCUGCCAAUAAACAUU